rnacentral:rRNA from 1 species
CCUACGGGUGGCAGCAGUAGGGAAUAUUGCUCAAUGGGCGAAACCCUGAAGCAGCAACGCCGCGUGGAGGAUGAAGGUUUUCGGAUUGUAAACCCCUUUUGUUAGAGAAGAUAAUGACGGUAUCUAACGAAUAAGCACCGGCGAACUCCGUGCCAGCAGCCGCGGUAAUACGGAGGGUGCCAGCGUUACUCGGAAUGACUGGGCGUAAAGGGCGCGUAGGCGGGUUGGCAAGUCAGAUGUGAAAGCCUAUGGCUUAACCGUAGAACGGCAUUGGAAACUGUGGUACUGGAGUGUGGGAGAGGAAGGUGGAAUUCGUGGUGUAGGGGUAAAAUGCGUAGAGAUAAAGCGGAAACCCCAUGGCGAAGGCGACCCGCUGGAGCAUAACUGACGCUGAGGCGCGAAAGCGUGGGGAGCAAACAGGAUUAGAUACCCGAGUAGUC